rnacentral:rRNA from 1 species
UACAGAGGUCUCAAGCGUUGUUCGGAUUCAUUGGGCGUAAAGGGUGCGUAGGUGGCAUGGUAAGUCGGAUGUGAAAUCCCGGGGCUCAACCCCGGAACUGCAUUCGAUACUGCUGCGCUAGAGUACUGGAGAGGAGAUUGGAAUUUACGGUGUAGCAGUGAAAUGCGUAGAUAUCGUAAGGAAGACCAGUGGCGAAGGCGGAUCUCUGGACAGUUACUGACACUGAGGCACGAAGGCCAGGGAGCAAACGGG